rnacentral:rRNA from 1 species
GAUGAAUACUAGGUGUGGGGGUUUCAACACCUCCGUGCCGCCGCUAACGCAUUAAGUAUUCCGCCUGGGGAGUACGGUCGCAAGAUUAAAACUCAAAGGAAUUGACGGGGACCCGCACAAGUAGCGGAGCAUGUGGUUUAAUUCGAAGCAACGCGAAGAACCUUACCUACACUUGACAUCCCUUGCAUUACUCUUAAUCGAGGAAAUCCCUUCGGGGACAAGGUGACAGGUGGUGCAUGGCUGUCGUCAG